AUGGCAGAGAGGCCUGAGGAUCUAAAUCUGCCCAAUGCCGUCAUCACCCGGAUCAUCAAGGAGGCGCUCCCGGACGGGGUCAAUAUCUCCAAGGGGGCCCGGAGUGCCAUCUCCCGCGCCGCCAGUGUCUUCGUGCUGUAUGCCACUUCCUGUGCCAACAACUUCUCAAUGAAAGGGAAACGCAAGACUCUCAAUGCUACUGAUGUCCUCUCAGCCAUGGAAGAAAUGGAGUUCCAGCGCUUCAUUACUCCACUGAAAGAGGCUCUGGAAGCAUACAGGCGGGAGCAGAAAGGCAAGAAGGAAUCAUCUGAGCAAAAGAAAGAAAGAAAGAGACAGAAAAACCGAUUCAGAAGAACAAGACAAGAGCAGAGAUGAGGACAAUGAUGAAGAUGAGGAAAGGCUAGAAGAGGAAGAACAGAAUGAUGAGGAGGAGGUGGACAACUAA